UUGAAUUCAGGUAAGGGUGAGACUAUCUCUCAUUAAUAGAUAAUAUGUAAUUUCGGAAAAUUGACCUAAUUGCUUAACCUUGGGGAUAAAAUUGAGGGUUAGGGUUUGAUGAUGAUUCUGAGGGGAAUGGGUAAUGAAUCAUGUUAAUUUUGUUGUAAUGUGAUGUUCAGAAUGAAAUCUUAAUCUAUACUGUUGCUGUGAUCACAAAUUGAUUGAAAAUAUAAUUGAUUGGAUGAAUUGAUGAAGUUUUGUAUGAUGGUGGAAUGAUCUGUAUUGUUGUUGUUGAUGUCUGUUUGUGUUUCCUUUAGAUGCCUAGUUGUGUAUAGGACCUGUAAACAUCUGCUGGAAAACGUUUUGGGCGAUCAGGGGAUUAAAAUUGGGUUUUGGAGUGGGAAAGGGUCUGAAACCCGUAGGUUUUGCACAGUCCAGAUGCAUAGUC
rnacentral:lncRNA from 1 species